AUGCCGCCCAUCUCGGAAAUUAUUUGUUGCAGUGGGAGGUUAGCCCAUGUGCUCCUGACCUGCUGUCUACUACUAGGUUUUAACAUAUUCUGUAUUGCUCGUUGUGGUCAAACUCUCUGGGUGAAAAUGGAUGGUGUAGCCACAAAUGUUUACCACCCUUCAGAAAGAAAAAACUUUGGCACUUGCCUUAUUAAUAAACGCGGCAUCGAAUUGAGGUCCUCUGUUUUCUUAACUCCACUUGCUCAUCUGUUAUUUGAACGACAUUGUUUCCUAUGCAUUCGAUCAUAUAUAUCCCUUUAA
rnacentral:rRNA from 1 species